UACAAAAGGAGAAACUGAGACUUGCUUUGUGC
rnacentral:piRNA from 1 species